GACGAACGCUGGCGGCGUGCUUAACACAUGCAAGUCGAACGAAGAGCGAUGGAAGCUUGCUUCUAUCAAUCCUAGUGGCGAACGGGUGAGUAACGCGUAAUCAACCUGCCCUUCAGAGGGGGACAACAGUUGGAAACGACUGCUAAUACCGCAUACGAUCUAAUCUCGGCAUCGAGGAUAGAUGAAAGGUGGCCUCUACAUGUAAGCUAUCACUGAAGGAGGGGAUUGCGUCUGAUUAGCUAGUUGGAGGGGUAACGGCCCACCAAGGCGAUGAUCAGUAGCCGGCCUGAGAGGAUGAACGGCCACAUUGGGACUGAGACACGGCCCAGACUCCUACGGGAGGCAGCAGUGGGGAAUCUUCCGCAAUGGACGAAAGUCUGACGGAGCAACGCCGCGUGAGUGAUGACGGCCUUCGGGUUGUAAAGCUCUGUUAAUCGGGACGAAAGGCCUUCUUGCGAAUAGUGAGAAGGAUUGACGGUACCGGAAUAGAAAGCCACGGCUAACUACGUG
rnacentral:rRNA from 1 species